GAUGAACGCUGGCGGCGUGCCUAAUACAUGCAAGUCGAGCGAACGGACGAGAAGCUUGCUUCUCUGAUGUUAGCGGCGGACGGGUGAGUAACACGUGGAUAACCUACCUAUAAGACUGGGAUAACUUCGGGAAACCGGAGCUAAUACCGGAUAAUAUUUUGAACCGCAUGGUUCAAAAGUGAAAGACGGUCUUGCUGUCACUUAUAGAUGGAUCCGCGCUGCAUUAGCUAGCUGGUAAGGUAACGGCUUACCAAGGCAACGAUGCAUAGCCGACCUGAGAGGGUGAUCGGCCACACUGGAACUGAGACACGGUCCAGACUCCUACGGGAGGCAGCAGUAGGGAAUCUUCCGCAAUGGGCGAAAGCCUGACGGAGCAACGCCGCGUGAGUGAUGAAGGUCUUCGGAUCGUAAAACUCUGUUAUUAGGGAAGAACAUAUGUGUAAGUAACUGUGCACAUCUUGACGGUACCUAAUCAGAAAGCCACGGCUAACUACGUG
rnacentral:rRNA from 1 species